GCGCCUGUGGCUCAGUAGGUAGGGCGCCAGUCUCAUAUACUGAGGGUGGCAGGUUCAAACCAAGCCCUGGCCCA
rnacentral:tRNA from 1 species